rnacentral:rRNA from 1 species
CAUAGCAGCCAUAUCACCCUGUAGCCCAAGACUGGUUGCCCACUGAAGCUAAGCAGGGUUGAGACUGGUUAGUACCUGGAUGGGAGACCUCCUGGGAAAACUAGGUUGCUGCUGGAA